rnacentral:rRNA from 1 species
ACGAACGCUGGCGGCAUGCCUAACACAUGCAAGUCGAACGAGACCUUCGGGUCUAGUGGCGCACGGGUGCGUAACGCGUGGGAACCUGCCCUUAGGUUCGGAAUAACUCCCCGAAAGGGGUGCUAAUACCGGAUAAUGUCUUCGGACCAAAGAUUUAUCGCCUUUGGAUGGGCCCGCGUUGGAUUAGCUAGUUGGUAGGGUAAAAGCCUACCAAGGCGACGAUCCAUAGCUGGUCUGAGAGGAUGAUCAGCCACAUUGGGACUGAGACACGGCCCAGACUCCUACGGGAGGCAGCAGUGGGGAAUAUUGGACAAUGGGCGAAAGCCUGAUCCAGCAAUGCCGCGUGAGUGAUGAAGGCCUUAGGGUUGUAAAGCUCUUUUACCCGGGAUGAUAAUGACAGUACCGGGAGAAUAAGCUCCGGCUAACUCCGUG